CUCUCUCUCUUUCUUUGACCAGCCAUGCCUGAGACUAUUUCUACUGUGAAUGUAAAUAUUUUACCUGCACAGUUUUACUGCUGCUGUGGCUGAGAACCAGUGCAAGACUAUGCUCACUCACAGAGUCGUUGCCGCAGAGCUGCAUGGCGCUGCUGAGGAAGACAAUGGUGAUGAGCUGCCACCGCACGGCCGGGUCCCUGAAGAGCUCCCAGGGGGCCUUGGCUGUCACCCCUCGGAGUGCCGCCUGCUCUGCCAGCAGCUCCUUCAUCUCCCCGCCCAGGUCGUCGCUGCCCCGCAGCUUCUGCAAAGCUGGAAGAGGCAAGAGGGGCAACAUAAGGGCUGCAAGCAUGAAGAUGGAGCGGUCAAACUCCAGGAGAUGCUCCGAGUUUUAUUAGGGAUUCCAAACAUACCCUGAGCACCUGUUGAGCUCCUGGAGCUUGGGGUGAGCUUGAAAGCAAAUUAGGAAGGCAGCCCACAAACGAUAGCAGGGGUACGGGAAACAGCUCAAGCUGCUCUUGUUGUGAAUCUACUUUCUCCUAUGGGAGGAACCAUGCACCAUCCCCUAUGGAUCUUCCCUUAAACAGGGUUUCCCAAACUUGGGUCUCCAGCUGUUUUUGGACUACAACUCCCAUCAUCCCUAGCUAGCAGGGCAAGUGGUCAUGGAUGAUGGGAUUUGUAGUCCAAAAUUAGCUGGAGACCCAAGUUUGGGAAAUCUUGCCUUAAACAUACACAUGAGUAGCGAUUAUUUAUACAGGGUGAAGCCUGCCCUUUUGCAUCAAGACCAGGCCAGACUGGAACUCAGAGCCUUUGGAAUGGAAGCAACCAAGGAACUCGAUGCAAAAGGAGAACCAGAAGGCAGUUUUGUCCUGAGUUUGGGUUUUUUUUUAAAAAGCAAGGAGAAGCACUGAGCACACCCACCACAGAUGCAAGAUUCCUCAUCUCCUCGGUCGAUCAAUAGGUACCGGGGGCUUUCCGGGGCCCAGGGCAGCAAGACCAGCUGGAUCAGAGCAGGCACUGCGUUGCUGGCCAGGAGGAGAGGCCAGCUUUCCUCCGCUCCUAAAAUUUCUCUGCAUUAAAAAUACAGAAUUGUGUGAGCAGAACCUUUCUGAGCCAGCAGUUUGGGCCUCGCCGAGCCGAAUGUACAUAUUUACUUUUUCUUUUUACGUCUGUUUGUCACUUUUCGCACACAGAACAGUGGCCCCAAAGCAACUUAACAUAUUAAAACCCCAUUUAAAGAAAUAAUAAAAUGCAAGAGCUGCAGCUCAGAGGAAGAA